GACGAACGCUGGCGGCAUGCCUUACACAUGCAAGUCGAACGGUAACAGGUCUUCGGAUGCUGACGAGUGGCGAACGGGUGAGUAAUACAUCGGAACGUGCCUAGUAGUGGGGGAUAACUACUCGAAAGAGUGGCUAAUACCGCAUGAGAUCUACGGAUGAAAGCAGGGGAUCGCAAGACCUUGUGCUACUAGAGCGGCCGAUGGCAGAUUAGGUAGUUGGUGGGAUAAAAGCUUACCAAGCCGACGAUCUGUAGCUGGUCUGAGAGGACGAUCAGCCACACUGGGACUGAGACACGGCCCAGACUCCUACGGGAGGCAGCAGUGGGGAAUUUUGGACAAUGGGCGCAAGCCUGAUCCAGCAAUGCCGCGUGCAGGAUGAAGGCCUUCGGGUUGUAAACUGCUUUUGUACGGAACGAAAAGCCCUGGGUUAAUACCCUGGGGUCAUGACGGUACCGUAAGAAUAAGCACCGGCUAACUACGUGCCAGCCGCCGCGGUAA
rnacentral:rRNA from 1 species